rnacentral:lncRNA from 1 species
GAGUCAAGCUUAAAAGUUUACUGAAAGAACAACAUAACGAGAUAGGAAAGUAAAACAGGGCCUAAAAGGUAAAGGUAAAGGUAAAGGUAAAGGUAAAGGUUUUCCCCUGAUGUUAAGUCCAGUCGUGACCGACUCUGGGGGUUGGUGCUCAUCUCCAUUUCUAAGCUGAAGAGCUGGCGUUGUCCAUAGACACCUCCAAGGUCAUGUGGCUGGCAUAACUGCAUGGAGCACCGUUACUUUCCCACUGG